rnacentral:rRNA from 1 species
UACGGAGGGUGCAAGCGUUGUCCGGAAUCACUGGGCGUAAAGGGCGCGUAGGCGGCUCAUGAAGGCUGUGGUGAAAGUCCGGGGCUCAACCUCGGAUCGGCCGUGGCGACUCGUGGGCUGGAGCACUGUAGAGGCGGGUGGAAUUCCGGGUGUAGCGGUGGAAUGCGCAGAUAUCAGGAAGAACACCGGUGGCGAAGGCGGCUCUCUGGGCCUUACCUGACGCUGAGGAGCGAAAGCGUGGGUAGCGAACAGG